CAGGACUUCAAUAUAUACAGAUUCCUGGUUCCUCCAAGUGCUCAGCACUUGCAUAGGUGGCCCAGACCUGCCUAGGGAGAGAGGUGGGGAGCGAGCCCUCGCUGGAGCCACCCAGGCUCUCCUCCUGGGACAGUCACAAGCCACAGGCGAUCAUCUAUACAUCCUACUGCACCAGAAGACCAGUCAAGUCAAGAGGUCCUACCACCGGUGAUGCCAAGCUUGAUUACCAGGUUAAGGUGAGUUUUGCAUCAACACUCAUAUUGUUCAAAAGCCAAAAAAGUUACAUUAUAUUGUACACAAUUACUAAAAAGUUACAACCAGAAGUCCUGUUCUCAUCAUCAGCUUACUACACUGUUCCCUCUCAAUCCCACAGG